GUCUGCAGCCAUACCACCCUGAAUGCACCCAGUGUCGUCUCAUCAUGAAAGCAAGCUCAGCAGGGGGGCGCAGCUCGAUGGGAAAUGAGGGGGACGGCCGCAGGCC
ensembl:rRNA 5S_rRNA 5S ribosomal RNA